AAGCUUUGACCUUUACCGUGCCAUAGAAGUGCCUUCUCAGUGUCAAGAACUUUCACAUGGAAGAGGUGAGGCCUAUUCACAGUUCAGACAUACACCUCUUUAAAGUCCAGGAAAAACUAUACUCCCGGCUGGAACAAAACAUGAUUGCCUAUACAAAGAAAAAAAAAAGAAAAUUAUUGUGAUCAAGAUCAUCAUUAAUAGUACUAGUUAAUGUUAAAGUAGACUCUAGGAAUUUUAGCAGGAGUACAAAUGAUGUCCACCAACAUAUCCGUUUCUAUGAUUCUGUGAUUACCACUACCUGUCUUAUCUUCUUAUAUUUUUCUCUCAUUAAAUCCCCUUCCUAACUAUCUCUCUGUGUAUUUGCACUCUCUUGUCUAUGUGAGCUGCAAGGAUUAAGUGCCAGACUUAGAUGUGGGUGAGUAAACCUCAGUGCCAGCCACUGGGAGUCAGGCUGGGUAAGGGCACCCCAACCUCGGGUGCCAGCUACUGGAGUGAGUACAGGUUUCUCAGCGCUAGCCACUGGUGACUAGUGCAUGUAGGCCCAUGGACUGUGGUGCCAGCUACUAGAAUGAAUUGGGUCCUCGUGUCAGUAGUUUGGAGCAGGUAGGGAGAACAUAGCUCCCUGGAUCUAGUAAAUGUCCUAGAGAGUUUGAGCCUCAAGUGCCAGCUACUGGAGGGACUGGUGUGAGUGGGUGGGGUGCUAGCUAGUGGAAUCAUACUGAGGGUGAAGGCUCCCAUGGCCUGUGGUGUCCGCUGAUGGAGUGGGUAAGGUGGGACCUCUCUAGAUGCAAGGAGGGCCCCAUGGACUUUGAGCCCACAGUGCUACUACUGUGGGGAUUGGUGUGAGCGAACUAGGUGCCAGCUACUGGAGUCAAUACUGUCUACACCCCCAGCCUGCGGUGCCAUCUACUGGAGCGAGUGGGG
rnacentral:lncRNA from 1 species